UGGAAUCCUACUUUUUUUGACUUAGUUCUCGUGACUCUGAACAGUUCCCAUGCUUGGAAAGAUUUCACAUUUUGUAGGGUGUAUAAACAGGCUUAUCAAUUAUUUUCCUUCUCGUUUGUUUGUGCCCAUCAGAUGAAAUUGUCUGUCUGUUUACUUUCUGGUGUAGGUAUAGCUUUGAUAACAUUUGUAUGAGGCAAAUUCCCAGCACCUGCCAGUACACAUGAGCCUUCUGUGUCUUAUCUCUUCUGACCCAUUUGUCUUCCUUAUUCAGAGAUAUUUAAAAGAGACACCUCAACAUAGUGGGAGUAGAUGAGGAGGCAAGAGUGAACAAAACAGACGCAAUUUUCCUUUGCACCUUCUUCUUCUUGAGGUGGGUAUAAUAAUUUGAGACACAUGUUACGGUGACUUGUAUGUAUUGAAUUGCUCUCAGGCUUUCUCCACAUCAUGUCCUUCUCAUAAUAACUAUUCCAGCUUCUAUGAAGGACAAUUUGAACUCUCAAAAUUGCAUGUAAUAUUAAAUGCCACACAGAAUGUUAUCUUGAGCAGUUAUCCAUAUUUAUUUGUUAUUGUGCUUAUUUCUUGUUGAUUUUAGGGGUGGAGGAGCAAAGGGAAUAGUCUUUCCUAAUGAAGAGUAAAGGAAUAUAGAAUCUCACGGGUUGUAACUGUUCCCUCAAGUGGUAGGGUACAGGAGGUAGUCCCUUUUCCAAUUCUGUUCAGUGAAGGUUUAUGGGGCUCAUGUCAUAAAAAUUCUGAACGUUUCUGUAGAAAUGUCUUUCAGGGUGACUGAGAAGUUCAGAUGGCUCACUUCUCAUUGUGGAUAAAAACCAGUUUUAUCAUGCUGGCAUUCUAUCUUUGUUCUGAUGCUGUAUUGUCUCAGUUGCCUGAUGUCAUGACGCCACCAAACUGUGACAUAUAUCCAGAUCCACCAUUUUCUUGCACCUAUGACAGUGAUCCCAUCUGUGCAACUAAUAAGAAAACCUAUGGUAACCCAUGUGCAUUUUGCUUUCAUCAAAAACAAAGUAACCCGGAAAUUACUUUUAGUCAUUGGGGCCAAUGUUGAGCUUUGUGUUGUGACAGUAUACAUUCAUAUGACUCCUCUUGUAAUCCCCUUCUGCUGUUGGAUUCUACAGAAUAUUUGUCUAUAACGCC
rnacentral:lncRNA from 1 species